rnacentral:rRNA from 1 species
AUGUUUCUGAAAAAAAAUCGUAUACCUCUUUGCCCCCUCUCGGUUUUUAUCCUGGCUCUGCACCUGAUGGCGAUCCAAAACCUCAUCAGCAGAGGUGCAGGGAGGCCACGGCAAGGUUGGGAAAGGGCGGAGCUUGCAGCUACUUGUGGGACAGAGCAUCGCUCGUGGCGAGUGGAGCUUGAGAUACUGGGGUCAGGGGGACGCAGGAAGGCAGCGGCAUCGCGACAAAAGGAGGCCAACGAGGUGUUGCACGGUGAUGGCCUCAGGAGGGCCAUGGCGCGCUGCAGGCAGAAGGAUGGGCAUAGGCGCGUCUACCCAUUCGUGCGCGAGGAAGGAACACAAGAAGAGGAGAGGAAGAAGGCAGCAUGGCCACCAGAGGCAGAGGCGAUGCGCGAUGGCUGGAGGCCGGGGUCAGCGGACGAGCAGCAGCGGGCAACGGCGAAGAGCUCGGCUUGGAGGCAGAGCACGGAGUAG